AUGACACAACGAGGGAAGAUACUCUAAAAGGUACAGCGAAA
rnacentral:misc_RNA from 1 species